rnacentral:rRNA from 1 species
GAAUCUGGAGACAGGUGCUGCAUGGCUGUCGUCAGCUCGUGUCGUGAGAUGUUGGGUUAAGUCCGCAACGAGCGCAACCCUUGCCUUUAGUUGCCAGCAGUUCGGCUGGGCACUCUAAAGGGAACUGCCGGUGUUAAACCGGAGGAAGGUGGGGAUGACGUCAAGUCCCCAUGGCCUUUAUGACCAGGGCUACACACGUACUACAAUGGCCGAUACAAAGGGCAGCGACACUGCGAGGUGAAGCCAAUCCCGUAAAAUCGGUCUCAGUCCGGAUUGGAGUCUGCAACUCGACUCCAUGAAGUUGGAAUCGCUAGUAAUCGUGGAUCAGCAUGCCACGGUGAAUACGUUCCCGGGUCUU